rnacentral:rRNA from 1 species
CACGUAGGGCGCAAGGCGUUGUCCGGAAUUAUUGGGCGUAAAGAGCGUGUAGGCGGCCAGACAGGUCCGUUGUGAAAACUCGAGGCUCAACCUCGAGAUGUCGAUGGAAACCGUCUGGCUAGAGUCCGGAAGAGGAGUGUGGAAUUCCUGGUGUAGCGGUGAAAUGCGCAGAUAUCAGGAAGAACACCUAUGGCGAAGGCAGCACUCUGGGACGGUACUGACGCUGAGACGCGAAAGCGUGGGGAGCGAACAGG